UUGUGGGGAACAUUCAACGCUGUCGGUGAGUUUGUAGCUCUGGAAAAAACCAUCGACUGUUGAGUGUACCCUAACU
rnacentral:pre_miRNA from 1 species